UGCGUAGGCGGGCUAAUAAGUCAGUGGUGAAAUCUCUCGGCUCAACCGGGAAACUGCCAUUGAUACUGUUGGUCUUGAGUUCGGUUGAGGUAGGCGGAAUGUGUAAUGUAGCGGUGAAAUGCUUAGAUAUUACACAGAACACCAAUUGCGUAGGCAGCUUACUAGACCGACACUGACGCUGAGGCACGAAAGCGUGGGGAGCGAACAGGAUUAGAUACCCUGGUAGUCC
rnacentral:rRNA from 1 species